UUUCAUAUGGUGUAAAUUAUGGUUUUUUUUUUAAAUGGUGGGCGCACACACGUUGACACGCGUCAUAUAAUUGUUUUCAAACUUUCAAGUUUUAUUUUGUAGAUAAAUAAGUGUGCGCGGCCAGCUAUGUUUUUCUCUGUUGAAUUCCAUAAUCGUAAUCUACUCUAUCGGAUAGAUAUUUGGUGAACAUGUCAUUAAAAACAUGUAUUUUUUAAGCUAUGAAGAAUCAGUACACACUCGAGAAAGUACGCCGAUGCUAUUCUAUCUUCUACAUAUUUGCUUUUUCACAUUCACCUUUUCCUUACCCUUCUCCUGCCACUGACAUAGAAAGGAGAGACGAAUAAACGACGCCAUAACACUUCCGUUUAUUUUCCUGUAAAGUUAUUAAAAUUCAUGUUUGAUGGUAUUCUUCGUCUUUUAAGAUGGCAAGAACAAACGUCAUGAGGAAGAUUCGAUUUGUUAAUUUCAACAAGUGAAACGACCACGAAGUCUAUGUCAGAGUUUAUGUUCAAGGGAGGUCACUCUGAUAUACUUGGCGCGGAAUUCAAGUAAAACAAACUUUUCAAUAAAAUUUCCAUCUUGAUUACAAACAAACCAGUAAUUAUUCAUCUGAGAUGGAAUCCCUUUUAAAAACAACUGAUUUGGGCAAAUCUGCUAUUGGACAACAGUUCCUGAACCUGUUCCUGAGUCAUUAUGACAGAGUCAAAUUUAUUCCCAAAGAUUCCUGCCCAAUACCACCAGCUCCUGAUGUACUAAAGACACUCCUUGAUAACAUUUGUUCUGUAAAGCUUUUAACAUUGCAAUUUGCUUGUCUUGAAAAUAUUUUUGAUAAAUACACUUGUCAUUACAAACUAGUUCUUCCUUUAAACAAAUCUGGAAAUAUAGAAUGUUCUAUAAAUUGUGUAUCUAAAAGCUAUGAUACCAGUCUAGAAUGUCUACCGUGUGAAGAUUUAAUUCUUUUUGGAUUUCUGUCUUCUCAAAACGAAACACCACUAUCAGAUAGAGGUCUUAUUUUCAACACACUUCAUCUGCAAGACUCAACUUCUCAAAUUCCUUGCCAUCUAAGCAUCUCUGGAUGCAACGAACUGCAUAGUCUGGUGGAUAAAUGGAUCUUGGUUACAAAUGUUAAUGUCAUUUAUACAUCUAAGAAAUCUGGAUACUUGGAGCUUGUAGGUGAACCAAUACUCCUUACUAGAUCUGCCAUCCUUCCAAAGCAAACUUUUGAUGUUCUUCUUGUUGAUGAUGCCCUCCUUUUGCUAUAUAACAGGGGCAAGUUUAAUGUGAGCAAUAUCUCUGUAACUGGCACCGUGUUUGCUGUUUCUGAGAUUGGAAAAAUCAAGAAAGACCUUGUAUUUUUUAUUGAACUCGUCAAAGGAAACAAGUCCAUUGUCAUUCUUGUGAAAAACCUACAUUUACACUGGCAACAACUUGUGUGUGUUGGAGAAAGUUAUGUAUUCACUUCAUUAAAGCCAACAAAUAUUGUAACAGCUAUGAACUCACUGACACCCCUGUAUGUUCCAACCAAGACCUCUCAGCUGCAUAUAACAAAUGAUUAUCAACUUUCAGUUUGUUUGUUAAAGGAAAUUUUACACGAAAAUCUACAGUCUGAGAAAUCUGUGAAGCUGAUGAAACCAACUUGUUCCAGACAUUCUGAUGCCAUUUCUUAUGAGGGUGAAAUAACAGGUUGUACAGCUGAUGGAGUUAUUAUUCUGGAAGACUCAAUUAGACUGUACUUGUUGUAUAAUUUGGCUUUUGUAAUUUACAAACCUUUUCGAGUUGGCACUGUACUCCAAGUUUCCAAUGUUCACCGAAAGUAUUUUGGCAAGGAAAACCAAGUGAGACUGUAUUGCUGUGCCAGAAGUUGUAUUAAAGUGUUGAAGUUUACUCAAAUGACUUCCAGUAUUUUGCCCUUAAGAACCUGUUUUAUCACUGUGAGGGCUAUUCUGAAAUUCAACCUUAGCCCUACUGAAAUAGACACUAUUCAAUCAAUGGAAGCUCAGUUUAACACAAUAUCUCUAUCUCUAUUCAAAAAAUCUUCAGAACAACGUGAAUUAGCUUGGGAAAGAAUUCUGUCUCAUGUCUUGAAGGCACGCAAAUGUGUAAAGUCACGACAGUUUGUACAAGAGUUUAUUGAAUAUGAGCAUUGUUGUCCAGCUUCUGCUAAGGAAGAUGUCAGCUGUGUACAAACCAUUCAUGUAAGGACUUUUGUUCCAUUGGACCUCAGAAAAGAAUUUGAAGCACUUGCUCAAGGAAUUCUUGCUGAUUUUGAAACGGAGAAGAAUAAAUUUUCAUCUUCAUUAUUGUCUUCAUGGAGGUUUAGGAGAAGAAAAUUCACAGAUAAAGUGCUUGUUGGUUAUUUAUCAUUAAACCCAGACACUGGCCAUCUUUGCUUCACUGACCAAUUCCACAGCAUCAAUGCGGUCUGCCAGUUUUGGACUUUCAAUCAAACAUCAUAUCAUCACCGUUGUUCCGGAAAUUGCGUAAUUAAGAGAAAUGAUGAAACGUUUAACUUCUCAUGUCCUUAUUUGCACACUUGGUGUCUAGGAAAAUUGAUUGCUCUGGACUGUUUCCAAUUAGUUUUGGAAGUAUUCAUAAAUAAUUCUACUGGCAUUAACAAAACUGAAACCACUUUGAGCUUAUUAGACAGCUCAAAAUUCAGACUGGUUAAAUAUCUGCAAUUUUCGUUGCAAGAUGCAGUCAUUAUGGAAGAUAUUUCUCGGCCAUCUUUUCAAUACUGGAGAAAAAUUUCUAAUAAAACUAACCAGCUUCAAGCAACUUUUUCAGAUUGUGAUCUUUGCACCUGUCAAGUUUAUUUAAUGACUUACAAAGAAUCUUUGAUGGAAAACCUGUUUCAUAAGAGAAAGGUAUCCUCAUUGCAAUUUAUGACCCAUGGAUAUUUCUUGGGAAAGCCAUUUACUCUGCCGGUUCGUUGUAUCUUUGAAGCGGCUACUAAAUUCCUGCAUACUAAAGACAGCAAAUCUACUCAAGUGAAGGAAAGUUCCCUUGAUGAUAAGAUCUCAGAAAGUCUGUUGGAUGCCAUACACUAUGAACAAACUGUCAUUUCCUUCCAAGACAAUGCCUCAAAAUGGUAUAAUACUAUGCAGACUGAAGGAAGCUGUUAUCUGCUGAUUUCAUAUGGAAACACUUCUCUGUCCACACCAUCUACAGUGUUCCAAUCUGUCUAUCCACUGGUUCUAAAUAAAAAUGUACACAAAUGCUAUGUCUGCUUGUCAAAGAACAUAUUGGUGCAGGAAAUUCCUCUUGCACACUUGAACUCUUAUUAUGAAGCCAAGCUUAACUGGUUACCAGAGCUAUUAAAGAAACCAUCCCUUAAGUAUGACACUAUUGUGAAACCACCUUGUCUCUAUACUGUGUCAGAUCUCCUUUGCUGUAGUGUCACUGAUACCAUAGUGAAUUUGUUGCCUGUUAUUAUUCUGACAUACGUUGAGUUGAAUGCUGAUGACAAACUCUCAAUGAACUCUUCAGAGGAUGCUACAGAAAAUAGUGAAUGUGAUCAGAAGGAAUUUAAUGCAAAGCUUGAUUUCUCCAGUUUUGUAAAUAAGAAAUUCAGGAUGACUGUGAAAGACACGGUGACAAAUUCUGAUGUUAAUAUUUAUUUGAAUUUUAAGAAUGUCCCAUACUGUGUUGGUCUUUUGCCUGGUACUGUGGUUGAAUUCCGUCAUCUCCAAAGAAAAGUUUCUAAGAAAGGCAAUGUCUAUUGUCAGUUCGUUGCCGUAUCAACAGUCCGGGUGUUAGCUGGUGGAAUUUCUGGUGGUCCAGACCCUACAUCAGGAUGCUCAUUCAAUGAAAUGGCUUUGAUGAAAGGCAACCAAACAACUCCGACACAAGACUACUGUACAUUUUUUGCCUUACUGAAAAACCACAAACGUUCACUUCCAUUUUGGAAUUUGGUCUUUGUGGCACAAGUUUUGAAUUUGUCUAUCAAGACUACAUGCACAGAAUGUGGCAGUAUUAGUUGCAAAAACCUCUGCACCAAUAUGAGCUGUAAAAAUAUUGCAUAUCAGUUGACUGUUAGAUCAAAGUUGUUGCUUGAUGAUGGAAGCUGUAUGGCAUAUGGCUUUGUAUGGCACAGUGAAUUACUUCAGAAAAUUCUUGGUUUGUCUUCUGGAGAAUGGAAUGAUUUGAUUCACGCUGUCUACACCUCUAAUGGCGAUAUCUGCCUGGAAACAAAGAAUUACAAUGAAAACCAGAUGCUGUUUCAAUCCAAUCAUAAUUCUUCCUGCUUGGAGCAAUUCCUCAGAUCCCUCUGUUUCAGCCCUGUGGUCAAGAAAGAAUGGUGGAUGGUUUUAGUGAAAAAGAACAUUGAUUGUAAAGACACUAUUCAAGAACGAAGAAUUGGAUUCCUUGAUAAAAUUAUCAACACACAGUGUAUGCCCUAUCAGUACAUGAAUAUAGAAUCAGUUUGUACAGAACCAACGUUUGAUAUCGGUGCCAAAAUGUUGUCAGAAAUAUCUCCUACUACUGUGAAGUGAUAUCAGUCACAUAAUCAAUUGCUAUCCAGUACAAAAUACUACAGUGAACAGAAAAUAUCAGCUUCCAAAUCCUUUUUUCUGAUUAGGUAAAAUUGA
rnacentral:misc_RNA from 1 species